GGCUUUAUAAAUACACGUGUUGUCUGUUCAGUUGCGAAAUUUAUGAGCCAAAGUCAUUCAUGCGCAUCGUCUGCGCAUGGGCAGUUCUACAAUAGUCAGAUAUUUCGCAAGUCAGGAAUUUCGCGUCACACCGGAUCACCCGGAUAUUAUUUGGUAUUAUAUGGUAGGAUCUCUAUGGAUUUCACCAAACGGUUUAUAAUAGAACAUUGGGUUUAUAGAACGGACCGCUUUAUAUAAAGUGUUUUAUGAUGAACGACGUUUGUGCUGUAGUUGAAGUAAAUUCUACUUGUGAAGCGGCUUCAGCCAGCCUGGAAAGAAAUGAACCAAAUUAUCAUUGUGAUGAUUGUAAAAUGGCAUUUGGUACCCUAUCUUUGCUAACUGAGCACAAGAAGACUCAUGGACAUGGUGAAGUACAAAGUUCGUUCAAAUGCCAGGAUUGCGAUAAAAGCUUUCGAUCAAACUAUCCAUUGAUGCUUCACCAAAGAGUGCAUUCUGGAGCACGCCCCUUCGAAUGCGAGGU